AGCAUGAAGGUAGCAAUACCUUGAUGGCGACCGGCGCACGGGUGCGUAACACGUAUCCAAUCUACCCAUGGCUCGGGAAUAGCUUUCGAAAGAAAGAUUAAUGCCCGAUGGUCUUACGAAGAGACAUCUUUUUGUAAGUAAAGAUUUAUCGGCGAUGGAUGAGGAUGCGUCUGAUUAGGUAGAUGGCGGGGCAACGGCCCACCAUGCCGACGAUCAGUAGGGGUUCUGAGAGGAAGGUCCCCCACAUUGGAACUGAGACACGGUCCAAACUCCUACGGGAGGCAGCAGUGAGGAAUAUUGGUCAAUGGUCGAGAGACUGAACCAGCCAAGUAGCGUGAAGGAAGACUGCCCUAUGGGUUGUAAACUGCUUUUAUAUAGGGAUAAAGUGAGGGACGUGUCCCUUAUUGUAGGUACUAUAUGAAUAAGGACCGGCUAAUUCCGUGCCAGCCGCCGC
rnacentral:rRNA from 1 species